GAUGAACGCUAGCGGGAGGCCUAACACAUGCAAGCCGAGCGGUAUUGUUUCUUCGGAAAUGAGAGAGCGGCGUACGGGUGCGGAACACGUGUGCAACCUGCCUUUAUCUGGGGGAUAGCCUUUCGAAAGGAAGAUUAAUACUCCAUAAUAUAUUGAACGGCAUCGUUUAAUAUUGAAAGCUCCGGCGGAUAGAGAUGGGCACGCGCAAGAUUAGCUAGUUGGUGAGGUAACGGCUCACCAAGGCGAUGAUCUUUAGGGGGCCUGAGAGGGUGAUCCCCCACACUGGUACUGAGACACGGACCAGACUCCUACGGGAGGCAGCAGUGAGGAAUAUUGGUCAAUGGGUGCAAGCCUGAACCAGCCAUCCCGCGUGAAGGACGACUGCCCUAUGGGUUGUAAACUUCUUUUGUAUAGGGAUAAACCUACCCUCGUGAGGGUAGCUGAAGGUACUAUACGAAUAAGCACCGGCUAACUCCGUGCCAGCAGCCGCGGUAAUACGGAGGGUGCAAGCGUUAUCCGGAUUUAUUGGGUUUAAAGGGUCCGUAGGCGGACUUAUAAGUCAGUGGUGAAAGCCUGUCGCUUAACGAUAGAACUGCCAUUGAUACUGUAAGUCUUGAGUAUAUUUGAGGUAGCUGGAAUAAGUAGUGUAGCGGUGAAAUGCAUAGAUAUUACUUAGAACACCAAUUGCGAAGGCAGGUUACCAAGAUAUAACUGACGCUGAGGGACGAAAGCGUGGGGAGCGAACAGGAUUAGAUACCCUGGUAGUCCACGCCGUAAACGAUGCUAACUCGUUUUUGGGCUUUAGGGUUCAGAGACCAAGCGAAAGUGAUAAGUUAGCCACCUGGGGAGUACGCUCGCAAGAGUGGAACUCAAAGGAAUUGACGGGGGCCCGCACAAGCGGUGGAUUAUGUGGUUUAAUUCGAUGAUACGCGAGGAACCUUACCAAGACUUAAAUGGGAAUUGACAGCUUUAGAAAUAGAGCUUUCUUCGGACAAUUUUCAAGGUGCUGCAUGGUUGUCGUCAGCUCGUGCCGUGAGGUGUUAGGUUAAGUCCUGCAACGAGCGCAACCCCUGUCACUAGUUGCCAUCAUUCAGUUGGGGACUCUAGUGAGACUGCCUACGCAAGUAGAGAGGAAGGUGGGGAUGACGUCAAAUCAUCACGGCCCUUACGUCUUGGGCCACACACGUAAUACAAUGGCCGGUACAGAGGGCAGCUACACAGCGAUGUGAUGCAAAUCUCGAAAGCCGGUCUCAGUUCGGAUUGGAGUCUGCAACUCGACUCUAUGAAGCUGGAAUCGCUAGUAAUCGCGCAUCAGCCAUGGCGCGGUGAAUACGUUCCCGGGCCA
rnacentral:rRNA from 1 species